rnacentral:lncRNA from 1 species
CACACAUGAAGCUGUGUCAAGAGCCACUGCACAUCCGGGCGCUGUUCCUCAGAUACAGUGUCCAGGUUUGGACCAAACCAGUGGUUUUCAGGCAGAUUUUUGUGAAACCCCAGGAUUCCAAAAAGGGUCGUUAGUGCAGUGCCUGAGGCAUCCUGUGGGUAGAAACAUUUGGCAUCCACCAGCUUCCACCUGGAGCAGCCUGCUCUUACCUGCCGUCAUGGCAGCAAGCCCUGCAAAGCUGUCAUUCAAAUUAACAUGGAGGGACUGAGGCUGUGUUUAGUUGUGCAUUUGCCCAGCAUGUGUGAGACCCUGGGCUCCCUCCCCAGCUCUACAGAAAUACAAAGGUUGAGCUGCUUUUAAAAAAAAAGCCAACAAGCACUGGACAGAUGAACUUCUCUGCCCCAGACUUCUGGUGUGGUCCAGGGAGAUUAAAAGAUGCAAAGAGGACGGGUGGAGGCUUGGCCCUUUCACCAGGGACUGGGGCUCGCUGCUGUGAUCUUGAGGAGUCCUGGGAACUGCGUUCCCACCGUGUCAGCCAGGAGGGGCAGGGCUGUGCCUGGGGACGUGAACUUGAAGCCCAGGGGAGAUGGCCUGUGGUGGCUGGUGAGGUCAGCGGUCGGCAGGAGGCUGGCUUCACAGUUUCCCUGGUAGACUUCCGAUGUCUUUGAUGGCAUGCUUUUAUCAGUAAACGCAAACACAUAUGAGAUCUAAGCCUGCAUCUCCCAAGAGCAUAUAGGUGUAUUCAUGGUAAGUCAUACAUAUUUGUAUCACUGUGCUAAUCCUAUGUAUGGCUUAAAACACACACAGUAGCCAUAUCAAGGAUGAGGACAGUUAAAGCGGUAAAAGGAGCUGCUAGCUAGUGAGUCAUCUUGCAACCCCUGGGGCAGCCGACCCCACUGGAGAAGCGGGGGUGGCCGGGCGCCACGGGCGUCUGGGCCAGGAGCGUGCAGGGAGCGGAGGAGCUGUUGUCUUGCACUGCCUGGGCUGCUGCUGACCCAGCUUUCUCUGAAUUGGCUUUUCCCUUAAAUUUACCCUCACUCAGUGUUAAUAUGCACCAAAGAAUGACUUUCUGUACGGCUAGAAUUUUCUUAAAAUGCCCAUCAAAAACAAAAACAACAACAAAAAAAACUCUGAAACCAUAUAGACAGAAAGUUUGUCCAGAGACCACUUAAAAGUCAUUCUUGGCUCUCAGCGUGUAAUGGGGACCACCCCGUGGGAGCCUCUCAUCUGUGGCAUUGCCUUCAGAUCAAAAGGGCAGGGUAUUCUGGAGAGUGAGCCUCCCAGAGACCAGGCCCCGGGCAGGUGUGUGGCCUGCACGCCCCAGGGGCUGCACGCACAGUCCCACUAACAGUCCAGGAAGAGUGGUGGGGUCAGAUGUCUCCUGGAAGAAAACUGUGUGCACAUCCAUCACAGAUCUGAAUCAGCUGUGGACCGCCCCUGCCGCACGUCACAGCCACAGUGACACGUUGCCCUGCUGACUGCCGAAACUUCCUUGGGCUCCGUCAGUGCAGUCAUCCAUAUGUCCACUCAAGAGAGAGUCACUGUGCACCUGUGCUCUGCCAGCCCCUAGGUUAGGCUCUGGAGAUACGGGAAGAACAGGACAGAUGGGACGGCUUCUCCUGAGAAGCCUCAGUCCGCUGAUAGUGAACAAUGGAAAAACCAGAUAAUAUAAAAUCCAGGUAGUUAUAAAAACUAAGCAAAAUCAAAGUAAAGGUAGAGAGGACAAAUCCCCUGGGUAGAAUAACUGCAAAUAGUUUGUGUGGACACCCAGGGAGGUAGAACACAGCUCCACUCUUUAAGCGUGGUGUGGAAGAGAGGAAAAGGAACUUGGCAGUGGGGACACUGAUGAAGGUUAGCUUGUUAAACGCGCAACAGCAACAUCAGCGUCUUCAGCCAUGUUGCUAGUGUGUCCCUUGGAGACGACGCUGUGAGAAGCACACUUCUCUGUCAUCUUCCUCUCCCCAAACCUCACCUCAGUCAAUUUGUCAGAAAAGCA